GCUGAUCACAUCGACGUACGGACUAGAUGACCUGCUGCAGAAGCCGACGGACAGGGUGCCCCGAGACUGCGUGUGUUCACCCAAGUACCCCCACGUCUUUUCUUCGAUCCAAAGCUCUUUCCCUUUCGUUCGCCCAUCGCAGGAAGCGCAACCCUAACAACAUCUCCCUCCCCCUCUGCUGCCGUCGUUGGUAUUUCGCCUGAAUUCAUACCUCCGCCGUGUGUGGUGGAGUUGAAUUGGUCGGCGUUGAGGUCCUCCGCCGAUCUCUCUUUCGGUUCCUUCUCUGAUCCUCUCUCCAUCUCGUGCUUGGCAUCCUUCUGGUAGAAGGAUGACGGAAGACAGGAGUCCGAAAUAUCCCGAUGAACCCCCGCGGUGACCGCAGGCCUGGAGAUUCAGAAAUGCACUGGUGCUGUUGUUAUAACAAGAGGCAAAGUACCAUCCUCCUAAUGGAUUGUGAGACAGUGAGGAGCCACUGUAUCUCCUUAUAUCUGCAGGGGCUCAUGUAUGUAGUAUUUCUUGAUUAUAGGAUCUGAUUUACACAAAUCAUUGGCAAGAACAGAAUAUAUGUUUAGUUUUUCUGAAACAUUUUAUUUUUCUGCAUGGACUUGUUGUAUCUAUGAUUGGUAUCUGUAUAAGUGUUCAAUCUGUUCAUGUCAAGAAAAGUUACUAUGCAUUUAAAUGUGAAUAAUAUAUUUUUUUGUGGUUCGUGUCACAUUUCAUCUAAUUAAUCAGACCAAUUCUUGAUUAUUGAGUGUCAGUGAAUUCUUAUGUGAUGCCCAGAAAGUGAAACUGUGAAACUUAACAACUAAAAGAAUUUCUAAAUAAAGAAAGUGUACUAAUUUGAAAGAGAGGUCUAUGUUGUGGCUUCAAGCCCAACUGUUAACCUGAACUUCAAAAACUAUGUUAAUUGAAAAUGGAAGUCUACUUAUGGAUAAUAUUCUCCACUCGAUUUUGCUGUAUAGGACAAUUUCUUAUCAAGUAAUUCCACAUAUCUCAAUUUCUCUGUUAUAAUGUCAUACUUCAGUAUUAAUCCUUAUUGCUAGUGUUCGUUUUGUUCUUGGAGGACCUCCCUGAGAUGAGUAUCAUGACUUCCAGGAUACCUUUAAUACGUGAUGACAUGUUUAUCUAGCAUGGUUUGUAAACAUAUGAUUCUUUGGCCAUAUCAGAAAUACCUUGUUUGCUUCUAUGAGGCAUGAUUUUGGAUUACCAAACAAGACGCAAAUAUACAUGUACCCAAUCAUUGAUUACUAUACAGUUCAAGAAUGGGGUACUUAUAAUGAAGUUGUCAUUUCCAUAAUGUGUUUGAUUGUGUUGUUGUAUAUUAUGAUAAAUUAUAGCAAAAAUUAGCUAACAUGCCUGGCUGUCAUCAUGAAAGGAAUUAUUUUUCUUACACUAUAUUUCAAUAACAUCGAGAGGAUAACAAGAUGUUGCAAAAAGUAAAGCUAGCUAAAAUCCCUAUUUUAACUUUUCAUAUUAUAAUGAAGAUUAAAUCAUGAUUAAUGAUAAUAGUACAAAGUUCACUCAGGUUAAGAUGUGGUCCAUGAUCUGCCAAGACAUUGAAGGGAGUAGGCUUGGAUGAUUGUGAUGGGAACAUCCUCAAGCAAAAAUUAACAGCAUUUCCGUAGGGUUGUAGGUGUUUUAGUGGACAUCUUGAAACAAGGCCAGAACCUCAGACAUCUUUUACCCCUCUUUACUCAGUUUUGUUUGAUGGGCUGGUAUUAAUCUUUUAUUGCAUCAUUGCAUGGGAAAGUUGAUUGUGAUGCAGAAGGAAAUUUUUUGGGAGACAGGUUAGGCAAGCUCUGAGUAAAUAUUUGUUUCUGGGCUUUGAUGCUGACCCUUCAUUCGAUAUUGCAGCUUGUAUUUGAGGUCCAAAUGUAUGCAACCUUCUUGCAUAAAUCUUGUAGUUGACAGCUCUGCAGAGUCAUCUUCACAAAGUUCCUUUUGGGACUUGUUCGAACUUGUAACUUUGUUGGAUUAUAUAUCUCACUGACAUGGCUGACGGCAGUCUACUGCAAUUAAUAGCGCUUCUGGCUUCAUUUGUUGAUGUUCUAUUUCAUUUUCUAAGUGGAUCUUUUAAUAUUUGUCCCUUACCCAUCAUUAAAUGUGACUAAUACUUCAAGCUCUCCAUGACAUCUCCAUGUUGGUUAGAUUGUUUUUGUGUUGCUGGUGGUUUGGAUUUGUGUAUGCACUAUGCAGGACCUCUAUAUAAAUCACAUCAUGAAUGAAGCAGGGGCUACUGUUGUACUAAGAGGAAGAGGGUCUGAACAUCAUGAUUGUUUCAAAUGAAGCACCAUUGCAACCCCUGCAUUUAUCUCUGUUAAGUACUAAUCCAAAAAGUCUUGAAGCUGCCAAGAUCUUACCAGAAAACCUUUUGGACAGUUUCCUCUGGAUCUGAUGCUUCAAGCUUUAAGGCACCUUUGGUGUAGGAUUCCAUCAAAUAAGAUUAUGGUGCUGUUCCUCCACCAACAGUUGUUGGUGGGAACAGAAAGCUCAUCAGACGUUGUAUCUUUCCAUCCACUUCCACUGGCUCUAUGGCAGGAGUUCCAAUAGCUUACAGGCACCAUUGUCUGCCCUCAAGGAAUAGCCACUCACUCUGGAGACAUGUUGAAAUAUGGGAAUUCCCACAAACUUGGUUAGCUAUUAUGCUCCCUGCAGUCACUAGAGCGACAUGUUAUAAUGGCUAUGAAGGCAUAUAACCCCAGGCAAUGCCAUUGCAGGGAGUGGUUUUAGUACUCUGCUUGUGUCAUUCACAAGUUCCAUAGUGAGCACAACUGAAGAGUAAGUCAAAAAUUCAAAUGAAACACGGCCUCCACAACUACAUAAAUUUCAGGAGUUGCCUGUUUCUUUAGGGAUGUUAAACUGUUCUUCAGGCAGAUAACCUACGGAUUUGCAUUUGUCACGGGUUUAAGCGCAGCAGUUUGGUAAAAGCCAGGAGUUGACCUUUGCUGUCAACAACACCGGUUCGAUUUCUAGUCACCAGUAUGCGCUAAUAGACAUUUCAUUUCAUGAUGAUUUGGUAUUCUCUUUGCUUUUCAUGCAUAAUUGUGCUGCAUAUUAGUCAUCUUAGAACUUUUCAGAUCACUACCUAAUGUCCUUCUACCUGUUUGCUUUCUGAACUUUGAUCUAUUUGUUCCCAUGACUUAUUUUAAACCUUUGAUACUCAUCCGAUAUCUAUAUAAUUAUGGUAUUGAGCAAAUGGGGUUUUCUAGUUUGCUUCUUCAGAACUCACAAGUAUCAGAAUUUCUCAAGCCAGCUCGUGAGGGUUUAGAGGUGUGAGGGCUGUCUCAUCCAUGCUGCUGCUGCCGAAGAAGUUGGUAGAUGGUGGACUAAAAUGGGACACAACCUCUGCCAAGGAACAUGCCUCCCCCGCCACCAAAGUUCUCAUCGUCUCAAUCACUCCCCAGGCACCAACAAUGACGACAAGGAUUCGAGUGAAUCAAAUGGUUUGCCACAAUCUUCAAGAAAUGUGCCUCCACCACCUCCCAAGCUUUCAGAUCCCCAACUCCCUCCAAGUGCUAAAAGCAGGAGCAUGGAUACCUCCCAAGGUUUUCAUUUUGGUCUUUCUCAAGAGUGUUUUUUUGCUUUCGACAUCUUAGGAUGCGUCAAUCUUUUUGGAAGAAUGUUCAGUUUAGUCUUGCCAGUGUAUUACCCUGAAAAUUCUAGCAAUGAUUGUUGUGAAACUCUACCCAGUUCUAGUUUACAUAUGUGACUUGGAAAGUUGUAAUGUUACUACUACUAUUUCCUUUUCCUCUA